rnacentral:rRNA from 2 species
UACGGAGGGUGCAAGCGUUGUCCGGAAUCACUGGGUGUAAAGGGUGUGUAGGCGGAACGGUCAGUCGGAGGUGAAAGCCUGCAGCUUAACUGCAGAACUGCCCCCGAUACUGCCGAUCUUGAGUCCCGGAGGGGUGGCUGGAAUUCGUGGUGUAGCGGUGAAAUGCGUAGAUAUCACGAGGAACACCUAAGGCGUAGGCAGGUCACUGGACGGGUACUGACGCUGAGGCACGAAAGUGUGGGGAGCAAACAGG